AAAGCGCGUGCAGGCGGUUCGGUAAGUUGGGCGUGAAAUCUCCUGGCUUAACUAGGAGAGGUCGUUCAAUACUACCGGACUUGAGAGUGAUAGAGGAAGAUGGAAUUCCCGGUGUAGUGGUGAAAUGCGUAGAUAUCGGGAGGAACACCAGUGGCGAAAGCGAUCUUCUGGAUCAUUUCUGACGCUCAGACGCGAAAGCUAGGGUAGUAAACGGGAUUAGAGACCCCGGUAAUCCUAGCCGUAAACGAUGUAAACUUGGCGUCGGUGGCUUUAACUCCAUCGGUGCCGCAGCUAACGCGAUAAGUUUACCGCCUGGGGACUACGAUCGCAAGAUUAGAACUCGAAGGAAUUGACGGGGGCCCGCACAAGACAGCGGAGCGUGUGGUGUAAUUCGAUGCUACACGAAGAACCUUACCCGGGUUUGACAGGCAAGUGGUAGUGAUCCGAAAGGUGAACGACCCGCAAGGGAGCUUGCACAGGUGUUGCAUGGCGGUCGUCAGCUCGUGUCGUGAGAUGUUCGGUUAAGUCCGCUAACGAGCGCAACCCUCGCUGUAUGUUACAUGUGUCAUACAGGACCGCCGGUAUCAAGCCGGAGGAAGGUGGGGAUGACGUCAAGUCCGCAUGGCCUUUAUGUCCGGGGCUACACACACGCUACAAUGGGCAGUACAAUGGGUUGCUAAGCCGCGAGGUGGAGCCAAUCCCCCAAAGCUGUCCUCAGUUCAGAUUGCAGGCUGCAACUCGCCUGCAUGAAGCUGGAG
rnacentral:rRNA from 1 species